UCUUGGGGAAGAGAAGGACCAAAAUGAGGCCUUCAUGCUCCUAAGCUCCCAUGCCUCUUUUUUCCAGGACUAAGUUGGUGGCCUAGGUGUGGAGGCUGGUGGGGCCACCACCACAGACCACAGGAGGGGAUGUGUGCAGGCCAGGGUCCAGCCUUGCCUGAGGGUUGCACAGUGUUUUAAAUGACUUCUGCACUGGCGGGCCUCUCCUCCCGAAACCAGUCUCUCCCUCUUAACUCCAUACAGUAAGCAAGGCCCGGUAAGAAGUUGGGUUUCCCUGCCAUCCUUCCUGCCCCAGCCCCUCAUCCUCAACUCACCAUCAACCCUUCCACGAUCCCAAAUUGCUCGUGGAUGACUUUGGCGAGGGGAGCCAAACAGUUGGUGGUGCAGGACGCGUUGCUGAAACAGCCAAGGUGUGCACGGACACUGUGAGGUGGUGACCUCCCCAACUCAGCCCUCAACCUCCUCAGAGGCGCCAACGCUGACUGCUGUCAGCCAGCCCAGACCCUUUCUCCAUAUGCUGCCCGGGACGUGGACUCUGACUGUGAGGCCUGCCCGGCUGCUUUCUGCUUCCCAGCCCUGACAACCUCGCCACGAACCCUCCUAGACCCUCAGCUCCUACAAUAGGAAGCUGGCUGCCAAAGGCCAGGAGAGUCCCUGAAGACAGACACUGCAUUAAAGAAAAAGCUCCUGGAGGACUCCUGAAGCCUGAGGCAGCCUUGGGGCGGCAGUGGCUCAUGGUUUACAUUAGAAAGGUUUAUCAUGAGUAACCAGGUGCUUUGCUUCUGUGAUUCUCGGCCAGUGUAGGUCUGUUUCCUUUGCCAUUGAGCCUGCUCCUCUCAAUGGGGGUUCAAUCAAUGUUUGUGGGGUUUGUUUGUUUUGAGACAGGGUCUUCCUCUGUCGCCCAGGCUGGAGUGCAGUGGUGCAAUCAGAGCUCACCGCAGCCUUGAUCUUCCUGGCUCCGGCCAUCCUCCUGCCUUGGCCUCCCGAGUAGCUGGGAAUACAGGCGCACGCCACCAUGCCCAGCUAAUUUUUAAAUUUUUUUGUAGAGAUGGGGUCUCACUUUUGUUGCCCAGGGUGCUUUAGAACCCCUGGGCUCAAGUGAUCCUUGGCCUCCCACAGUGCUGGGAUUACAGGUGUGAGCCACCGUGCCUGGCCUCAUGGGUUUUCUUUGUUUGUUUUGUUUUGUUUUGUUUUUGAGACAGAGUCUCACUCUGUCACUCAGGCUGGAGUGCAGUGGCACGAUUUUGGCUCACUGCAACCUCCACCUUCCGGGUUCAAGCGAUUCUCCUGCCUCCGCCUCCUGAGUAGUUGGGGUUACAGGCAUGCGCUACCACACCUGGCUAGUUUUUUAUUGUUGUUGUUUUUUGUAUUUUUAGUGGUGACGGGGUUUUGCUCUGUUGGCCAGGCUGGUCUCAAACUCCUGACCUCAGGUGAUCCCCACUGCAGCCUCCCAAAGUGCUGGGAUGACAGGCAUGAGCCGCUGCACCUGGCCUCGUGUUUUUUUUUUUUUAGUUAGCCAUUUUAUACAUCUUUACUGAACACCUGUCCUGUGCCCGUAUUCUAAGUGCCUUACCUGUAUUAAACUCAUGUAACCUUCACAACCCAA